rnacentral:rRNA from 1 species
GUGGCGGACUGGUGAGGAACACGUGGGUAAUCUACCCUUAAGUUGGGGAUAGCUGCUAGAAAUAGCAGAUAAUACCGAAUACACUCAAAUUUUCACAAGAAGAAUCGAGGAAAGAGGCUACGGCCUCGCUUAAGGAUGGGCCUGCGUCCCAUUAGCUAGUUGGUGAGGUAACGGCCCACCAAGGCGACGAUGGGUAUCCGGCCUGAGAGGGUGAACGGACACAUUGGGACUGAGAUACGGCCCAAACUCC